AUAAAGGCAUGCCUUUACCGCCCAUGGAGGAGGUAGCACCAGAAAAGUUCUUCCCUGUCACCCAACUUAACACAAAUGGAAGGAAUCAGCUUUCACUUCAAGCGACAGGAAAGAAUAACGUAUCGCACAUGAAGAAACUAAUAGGAGAUUUACGAUGUCACUUCAUGUAGAAAAGGAAGAUGACGUGUACGUGGAUUUAGCAGCCAUCCAGACAAGAGAACCUGACCAGUUUUCACAGAAUGGAAGUAAAUGCAUAACAAGAAAAGUU